GGCAUGUUGGGAAGCUUAUACUGUGGUUCAGUUGAUGUUAAAUUAUGAUUGGUUGUUUUAGUUUGAUGUCUGUCUGUUGGCCAUAUGACUGUUAAACUGGAACGGGGGAAGAAGGAAGUGGGAGAUGGAAGCUUGAGAAAAACAAAAAGAGAUCGCUUUAGGUGGAGUUCUCAUUGUCCGCAAACUAAGGCACGUUGUAACUGGGAGCUUCCGAGUGAGUGCGUGAGCUCAUUCCGGAUCGGAUCUGUAUGGUAUCGCACCAUCCCAAAUCUACGCAAUUUGCCUGUUACCAACGUGGAAGAGGAGGAUUGUGACCAACACGACCACAUCACGACGAGGACAUCGCGGAAUUAAAUCGGUUGGUGACGUGGUAUAAGGCUCUCCCUCUCAAUAUGACAUCACUGAAGGACUCGCCGGCAGAACCAGGAAGAGCCAGGAAAGCAGAUGAUUGGUGCCCGCAAAAAGGUGCCCCAGUGACCCUGACCAGGAUAAAUGGUUGGAAGAUGGAUGGAUAUUUCUGGUGCUGAAACCAAGUUGGCUAAAACACUACACUAAAAUACUUCGAAUAUGUUCCCUGCUUAGCAGUUUGUCAGAACAAAAUCAAAUCUCAUGUAAAACACAGGUACCACAUCCUAAUUAUGACCUUACUUUGAUUUUUGAUGAAAAUAUGCACAUAUGGGGAAAAAAGCAAUUAAUCAUUAAGCAACGUUAAAACUUAAUUUAUCUGUCACUUGUAUCCAUGAUUGGUUUAAGAAAAAUUCUGGAUUUCAAGCCAUCUGCAGCUCAGUUUCAAAGAGAUGUUUUGACUCAAACAUCGAAGUCAAAUACAACACUGAGCUGCAGGAGUCUUUGUGCCACUCAAAACCAUUAUAUUAAUUACCUGCUUUUGGGAAUCUCUUGGAGUCUGAUUUCAGAAUUUCAUGAUGUCUUUGUUAGAAUUACCAAAGCUUUCAGAUAAGUCCAUGUCUAACCAUUGCACCUGCCCUGGGUUUCUGUUUUUUAAAAGGCAUUUAAGAGGAGAAAUCUACCACAGACCCACGCCCAGCUGGGGGCAAGUUCAUAAAAUGUGGUUUGAUAAUUCACUUUGGACAGAAAGGAAUGGAGGGUUCCCAAAAACUCUAAAUUACUCUCAGCGUGUGAUGCUGAGAGGUAUGGAACAACACCCAACCUAACAACAUAAAGGAAGCAAUAUCAACAUUGUGAAACAAAAGCAACAUUGUGAAGAGUUCUGCGCAUUUCCUCCAUGGGGCAGACCUACAGCCGUCACCUCAUUCCACCACAGAGUGCACGGUUAACUUGGGUGCACCACCAAAUCUACCUGCUAUUUUGUUUUUCCCAACCCCUUCCUUAAAGAAUAUUUGUUACAUCCUCCAUCUUCUCUUCUGUUUAUCCUAAGUAGUAAAACAGAGGAUGUUUUUUUUUUUUUUUUACAGCAGGCUUUAUGCAGUAUAGUCGUAAAGUAGCACAGAUCGAUAGUGAUGCACUACAUGACUACAGUUCUGCUCAGAAGGUAGAAAGCUGCAGGGACAUACAUAUGCACUAAUCACUGUUGUUCUGAGCUGUGUGGCUUUAGGCAAGGAGAUAUUCCCGCUUUCCAGCAAGGGAGAUCAUUCAAAAACAUGAUUUAUUUUAACUAUAACAUGGCUUCUCUUGCUUGUUGCUAAAUACCCUAUUAGUGUUGCCUCAAGGUCUUCCGACUAAAACAGUAUUAAAACGAUUUUAAUAGCCAGGCUAAUAUAAUAUACAAUACAGUGUGAGCUGUAUAGAGGUGGAGGGGUGUUACAUUUCUGCAAAAGAUAAUGCAGAUUGAAAUGUGGGCUGGUGGAGUCCCUUAUACACUUAGAAAGUGGCAGGAUGAGAUUUCCGUAUAAUGAACCUGACGGUGGUAGAGAAGUGCUGCACUGAGGAGCGUCAUCAAAAAAAAAGGAAGUCAACACAUUCUUACUGCACUCUUAAGUCCACUAUGUCUCAAUGGAGAGAGGACUUUGUGAAAUAUAAUUAUCAGUAAAGGUCAACUGAAGGGAUCUGAAUGAAUUUGUAUCAGGAAAAUCGCCAGUCAGUUUUGUUUGCGUUUAUGGACAUAUUUAAUUGUGUUUGACUCUUCACUUUUUCCAUUUUAAAAAUGCUUUCAUGAUCUCAAAUAUUAAACUUUUAUUAGUGUUCCUUUGAUUGUUCCUCUGGCAUAACAACACGCCAAGAAAGUAUUCCCUGCGAUGGGCUGGCCCCCCAUCCUGGGUUGUUCCCUGCCUCAUGCCCAUAGCUUCCGGGAUAGACUCCGGACCCCCCGCGAUCCAGCAGGAUAAGCGGUUUGGAAAAUGGACGGAUGGAAGACAGUAUUCCAUUUUUAAAACAGAGAGCUACAGACUUCAAUUGCACAUACACCACUAAUUAAUUCAGACAUUCAUUCAUUUAUGAUUAUGCAUAUCAAUGAUUUCACAAACUGCAAGAAUAUAUAAAAAAAAUACAUCAAUGAACAGAUAAAAUUAGGGAAUGUGUUUGUACCAAAUUAAACAAGGUUACUAUACACUCCUGGGCAAUAAAAAGGGACAAACCCAAAUCACACAACAUGCAGCUUUGGUUGUCCCCCCCACUGGAGUGUAAAUCAUGAUAUAUAUUUCCCUUUUAAAUAAAAAAUACAAAGUGGAACAUCACACGAAACUAUGGCUUGGAAACACUGAAAAAAAUAAUUUACAGAAAUAUGUAUGUAUGAAAUAUGCAUGAAGAACGUAUGUGUUUGAUUAAUACACAUUGGAACUAUAUUAAUGAAAAGUAAGCAGGAAUUGCUUGUCUAUUAUAUAAUAUUAAUAUUUUUCAAUCCUUUUGAAAAUUACUUGCAAAUAUAAACAUUUGCCUAAACAGAUGGUGCUUUACAUAAGGACUCUGAAAAAGCAGCGGCAAUAAUAAUACACAUUUUCUCCCCACCAGCAAAAGUGGAUAGUAUUAGUGAUAUGAAUCAAUGUGUAAAUGCAGGAAAUACUUGUGAAUUAUCAGACUGCAGACGGAGACACACUCAUUGUUUUUCUAUGCAGUAUCUGCUUAGGCUGUCAGGGCUACAUCUACACAAGUGCAACAAUGUAUAACCAGAACAAGAUACCACAGUAGUUCAGGGCACUUACUACAGUACAUACAGCAAUUCAUUCACUCACACUGAGGUAAUUCUUCUUCUGCUGUCAAGCAGGAGCAUGGAGAUGGAAAGUCAGGGAAUACGGGGUUUAAUCAAAGCACACAAACUCAGGACCAUGUUGUAACA